rnacentral:rRNA from 1 species
CCUACGGGUGGCAGCAGUGAGGAAUAUUGGUCAAUGGACGAGAGUCUGAACCAGCCAAGUAGCGUGAAGGAUGACUGCCCUAUGGGUUGUAAACUUCUUUUAUAUAGGAAUAAAACGAGGCACGUGUGCGUUUUUGUAUGUACCUUAUGAAUAAGGAUCGGCUAACUCCGUGCCAGCAGCCGCGGUAAUACGGAGGAUCCGAGCGUUAUCCGGAUUUAUUGGGUUUAAAGGGAGCGUAGAUGGGUUGUUAAGUCAGUUGUGAAAGUUUGCGGCUCAACCGUAAAAUUGCAAUUGAUACUGGCAGUCUUGAGUACAGUUGAGGUGAGCGGAAUUCGUGGUGUAGCGGUGAAAUGCUUAGAUAUCACGAAGAACCCCGAUUGCGAAGGCAGCUUACUAAACUGUAACUGACAUUGAUGCUCGAAAGUGUGGGUAUCAAACAGGAUUAGAUACCCUGGUAGUC